CCCAGACUCCUACGGGAGGCAGCAGUGGGGGAUAUUGCACAAUGGGGGGAACCCUGAUGCAGCGACGCCGCGUGGGUGAAGGAGCGUUUCGGCGCGUAAAGCCCUAUCGGCAGGGAAGAAGGAGGACGGUACCUGACUAAGAAGCCCCGGCUAACUACGUGCCAGCAGCCGCGGUAAUACGUAGGGGGCAAGCGUUAUCCGGAUUUACUGGGUGUAAAGGGGGCGCAGACGGCAGCGCAAGCCAGGAGUGAAAGCCCGGGGCCCAACCCCGGGACUGCUCUUGGAACUGCGCGGCUGGAGUGCAGGAGGGGCAGGCGGAAUUCCUGGUGUAGCGGUGAAAUGCGUAGAUAUCAGGAGGAACACCGGUGGCGAAGGCGGCCUGCUGGACUGCGACUGACGUUGAGGCCCGAAAGCGUGGGGAGCAAACAGGAUUAGAUACCCGAGUACC
rnacentral:rRNA from 1 species